CUACGGGAGGCAGCAGUGGGGAAUUUUGGACAAUGGGCGAAAGCCUGAUCCAGCAAUGCCGCGUGUGGGAAGAAGGCCUUCGGGUUGUAAACCACUUUUGUACGGAACGAAACGGUCUGCUUUAAUACAGUGGGCUAAUGACGGUACCGUAAGAAUAAGCACCGGCUAACUACGUGCCAGCAGCCGCGGUAAUACGUAGGGUGCGAGCGUUAAUCGGAAUUACUGGGCGUAAAGCGUGCGCAGGCGGUUAUAUAAGACAGUUGUGAAAUCCCCGGGCUCAACCUGGGAAUUGCAUCUGUGACUGUAUAGCUAGAGUACGGUAGAGGGGGAUGGAAUUCCGCGUGUAGCAGUGAAAUGCGUAGAUAUGCGGAGGAACACCGAUGGCGAAGGCAAUCCCCUGGACCUGUACUGACGCUCAUGCACGAAAGCGUGGGGAGCAAACAGGAUUAGAUACCCCGGUAGC
rnacentral:rRNA from 1 species